AUUGAACGCUGGCGGCAGGCUUAACACAUGCAAGUCGAGCGAGCGGCGGACGGGUGAGUAAUGUCUGGGAAACUGCCUGAUGGAGGGGGAUAACUACUGGAAAAGGUAGCUAAUACCGCAUACCAUCAGAUGUGCCCAGAUGGGAUUAGCUAGUAGGUGGGGUAACGGCUCCCCUAGGCGACGAUCCAUAGCUGGUCUGAGAGGAUGACCAGCCCCACUGGAACUGAGACACGGUCCAGACUCCGACGGGAGGCAGCAGUGGGGAAUAUUGCACAAGGGGCGCAAGCCUGAUGCAUCCAUGCCGCGUGUGUGAAGAAGGCCUUCUGGUUGGAAAGUACUUUCAGCGAGGAGGCGUUACUCGCAGAAGAAGCACCGGCUAACUCCGUGCCAGCAGCCGCUGUAAUAC
rnacentral:rRNA from 1 species